GGGAUUGGUGCUUUCCAUCACCAUAUUUUUUUUUUUUUUUUUUUGUCGACUUUUGCAUUAUAAACCCAAAAGGGCAAUUACAAAUGGUGGAGUUAAAGCUCAAUAGAUACAAACUUAAGCCCAUAAAGAUAACUACGUGUUAUAAGCAAGACAAUAAAGAGACUCGUGUAUAAACACGUGUUUGCAAACAAGUUGGGUUGGAAACACAACCGACUCAAGCACGGCAAGCUUCACCGGAAUCUGGGAAAUUCAUUAUCCUCCGGCAACAACAUCCAGCAAAGGCAGCCGCUUGAUUCACGAUCACACCACCUCAUCCUUCUGCGUAAAUUACCAAGUGUUUAGAACAAAGACUCGCAAGCUAUCCGAUUUUUGAAGUACGAGAAAUCACGGCAAAGCUAGAGAUCAGAGCAGUCGCAGAACUUUGCUCUCCUGUUCCGUUCUAAACCCACCAAAGAUCUUCAUAAACACGAUUCUUUUGCAUGCGAAGAAACCUUCAUCCAAAGCCGAUUUUACGGCCCCAAUAGGGGGUAUGAAGGAUUUUAC
rnacentral:lncRNA from 1 species